GUUCUUUUAGUGUAAACAACACACUACAUUUUCGUUGUAGAGAUGAAGACAUCUUCAAAGAAUA
rnacentral:tRNA from 1 species